AGUGAACGCUGGCGGUAGGCCUAACACAUGCAAGUCGAACGGCAGCACAGUAAGAGCUUGCUCUUACGGGUGGCGAGUGGCGGACGGGUGAGGAAUACAUCGGAAUCUACUUUUUCGUGGGGGAUAACGUAGGGAAACUUACGCUAAUACCGCAUACGACCUACGGGUGAAAGCAGGGGAUCUUCGGACCUUGCGCGAUUGAAUGAGCCGAUGUCGGAUUAGCUAAUUGGCGGGGUAAAGGCCCACCAAGGCGACGAUCCGUAGCUGGUCUGAGAGGAUGAUCAGCCACACUGGAACUGAGACACGGUCCAGACUCCUACGGGAGGCAGCAGUGGGGAAUAUUGGACAAUGGGCGCAAGCCUGAUCCAGCCAUACCGCGUGAGUGAAGAAGGCCUUCGGGUUGUAAAGCCCUUUUGUUGGGAAAGAAAAGCAGCAGGUGAAUACCCCGCUGUCCUGACGGUACCCAAAGAAUAAGCACCGGCUAACUUCGUG
rnacentral:rRNA from 1 species